rnacentral:rRNA from 1 species
UACGUAGGGUGCAAGCGUUAUCCGGAUUUAUUGGGUUUAAAGGGUCCGUAGGCGGAUCUGUAAGUCAGUGGUGAAAUCUCACAGCUUAACUGUGAAACUGCCAUUGAUACUGCAGGUCUUGAGUAAAUUUGAAGUGGCUGGAAUAAGUAGUGUAGCGGUGAAAUGCAUAGAUAUUACUUAGAACACCAAUUGCGAAGGCAGGUCACUAAGAUUUAACUGACGCUGAUGGACGAAAGCGUGGGGAGCGAAUGGG